GAUCCGUGUCGCAGCUAACGCAUUAAGCGCCCCGCCUGGGGAGUACGGCCGCAAGGCUAAAACUCAAAGGAAUUGACGGGGGCCCGCACAAGCGGCGGAGCAUGCGGAUUAAUUCGAUGCAACGCGAAGAACCUUACCAAGGCUUGACAUAUAGUGGAAAACUGCAGAAAUGCAGUCCCCCGCAAGGGUCGCUAUACAGGUGGUGCAUGGUUGUCGUCAGCUCGUGUCGUGAGAUGUUGGGUUAAGUCCCGCAACGAGCGCAACCCUCGUCCUAUGUUGCCAGCACGUAAUGGUGGGAACUCAUGGGAGACUGCCGGGGUCAACUCGGAGGAAGGUGGGGAUGACGUCAAAUCAUCAUGCCCCUUAUGUCUUGGGCUUCACGCAUGCUACAAUGGCCGGUACAAAGGGCUGCAAUACCGCAAGGUGGAGCGAAUCCCAAAAAGCCGGUCUCAGUUCGGAUUGGGGUCUGCAACUCGACCCCAUGAAGUCGGAGUCGCUAGUAAUCGCAGAUCAGCAACGCUGCGGUGAAUACGUUCCCGGGCCUUGUACACACCGCCCGUCAAGUCACGAAAGUCGGUAACACCCGAAGCCGGUGGCCUAACCGUAAGGAAGGAGCCGUC
rnacentral:rRNA from 1 species